rnacentral:tRNA from 1 species
GGCCCGUUGGUCAAGCGGUUAAGACGUGGCCCUUUCACGGCUAAAACAGGGGUUCGAUUCCCCUACGGGUCA